rnacentral:rRNA from 1 species
UCAUUAUAUAAGUUAUCGUUUAUUUGAUAGUACCUUACUACAUGGAUAACCGUGGUAAUUCUAGAGCUAAUACAUGCUGAAAAUCCCGACUUCGGAAGGGAUGUAUUUAUUAGAUACAGAACCAAUGCCCUUCGGGGCUCCCUUGGUGAUUCAUGAUAACUUCUCGAAUCGCACGGCCCCGCGCCGGCGAUGGUUCAUUCAAAUUUCUUCCCUAUCAACUUUCGAUGCUACGGUAGUGUCCUAGCAUGGUUGCAACGGGUGACGGAGGGUUAGGGCUCGACCCCGGAGAAGGAGCCUGAGAAACGGCUACUACAUCCAAGGAAGGCAGCAGGCGCGCAAAUUACCCAAUCCCGACUCGGGGAGGUAGUGACGAUAAAUACCGAUACAGGGCUCUUUAGGGUCUUGUAAUUGGAAUGAGUACAAUUCAAAUCCCUUAACGAGGAACAAUUGGAGGGCAAGUCUGGUGCCAGCAGCCGCGGUAAUUCCAGCUCCAAUAGCGUAUAUUAAAGUUGUUGUGGUUAAAAAGCUCGUAGUAGAAGCUCGGGUUCUGGCCGACCGGUCCGCCUCACCGCGUGCACUGGUUCGGCCGGGCCUUCACCUUCUGCGGAACCGCAUCUGCUUCACUGCGGGUGUCGGGGAAACAGGACGUUUACUUUGAAAAAAUUAGAGUGCUCCAGGCAGGCCUAUGCUCGAAUAGAUUAGCAUGGAAUAAUGGAAUAGGACGUGUGGUCUUAUUUUGUUGGUUUCUAGGACCGCCGUAAUGAUUAAUAGGGACAGUCGGGGGCAUCAGUAUUCAAUCGUCAGAGGUGAAAUUCUUGGAUCGAUUGAAGACUAACUACUGCGAAAGCAUUUGCCAAGGAUGUUUUCAUUUAUCAGGAACGAAAGUUAGGGGAUCGAAGACGAUCAGAUACCGUCGUAGUCUUAACCAUAAACUAUGCCGACUAGGGAUCGGACGGUGUUAUUUCUUGACCCGUUCGGCACCUUACGAGAAAUCAAAGUGCUUGGGCUCCAGGGGGAGUAUGGUCGCAAGGCUGAAACUUAAAGAAAUUGACGGAAGGGCACCACCAGGGGUGGAGCCUGCGGCUUAAUUUGACUCAACACGGGGAAACUCACCAGGUCCAGACACAACGAGGAUUGACAGAUUGAGAGCUCUUUCUUGAUUUUGUGGGUGGUGGUGCAUGGCCGUUCUUAGUUGGUGGAGUGAUUUGUCUGCUUAAUUGCGAUAACGAACGAGACCUUAACCUGCUAACUAGUCCGUAUUACCCCGGUAGUACGCCGA